CCUCCCCGCGGAGCGAGAGCCCGCGGAGCUGCUCCGAGACCCGCGGGAGGGCACCUCCGGUCACCCGAGCCGCAAAUCCCCGCCGUCCGAAGGGGGUGUCGCCCCGGGCUGUCGGCCCAGCGUGGCUUAGGCCAGGUACAACCGGCAGCGCCCGCCAAGCCCUGGGCUAGGGACGCCUGCGGGAGUUCACGGGGAGGCGCCGGUGUCUGAGGUCUGAGAAGACAGCGGCCACCGGAAAAGGUGCUAAUGUUUGCAGACCCCGAUCCAUCGACACCCCAAGGAAAUGCUGUGCACAAAAUUCCAAGAGGGCCUUUUCGAAUAGACGCAUGAACGGUGUUUGUGUCUGGAUCGUCCAGCCUCCCGGGAUCGAUUGGGAAUCUAGCUUCUGCUUGCCUUUCCAGCGCGACGCACAGUAGGAGCCUAAUAAAUGUUUGCUGAAUGAAUGCUGAAUAUCGAACUCAGGUAUUUACCAUCUCAUUUUUCAUUCGCGUCUUCCACAAGCAGGAAAUGGUGCAUCAGGCUUU
rnacentral:lncRNA from 1 species